CCAGGAUCUCAAAUUCACACACAUGGACCGACAUCAUCAAUGGUACAAAACACAGUGUUCAAACGAAAUACAUAAAUGAGAGUAAAAGUACCAUUAUUACAAGCCAAAUGUUUAUCAAAGUGCGGAGGGAAAACAUAAACUAAACUGUUCCAUAAAUAAAGGGAAAACUAAACGCCGACGUAGCAGGACCACCUUGCCACAGGAAGGUCGACGGUAGAACCACACGAGCCUAACAACCAGGAGACUCAGGGUAGUCCUCAGGGAAAUCGCAAUUGUACUCCUGGUCGUCCGAGCAACCUUUAAUGAUUAUAGCAAGGGUGAGCUCAUGUCGAACUCAGCAAGCACAGACGGAAAGUAAUGACAUGCAAGGCUUAAACAAGGUAAAGCUGACUUGGUUUGACUGCGGUAGUAUUUUAGUUGAUCACUUUUAAUUAUAACAAUUACUAGAACAACCUAUUACUAAAUAUGAGUAGCAUAAACCCAACCCUUAAUUAGUGUAAGUAGUAAUUAGCAUCUUUUAAAAGACUAUCCUAAUUAUUAUAGUGAUCCAGGGAUUAACCCCAAUUAUUAACACAGGAUAGCAAUCCUGCCAACACGGAAUAGCCAUUCCGCCAAAACACGAGGUAGCAACCUCGCCAAGUUCCAUCUCCAAGUAUCCAGUGAAUCCAAUUUGCUCAUCAAGUGAGGGUCUGGGCCGCUCGUGACCGUGAGCACGGCUGAUAUAUCAGUUUUACACUCUGCAGAGGUGUGCACGUUCACUCCAAGUCGUGAUUCCCAUUUGCCCGGGGUCGCGACUCCCCAAAACACUACCAAGGUGAGCAGGCAGGGUUUCACUACGAGACCUUUCACAGGGUCCAACUAAUAGGAUGCCACUCGUAAGUUUUUGCCGGGGCGCGCGGCAGUCGUGCCCAUAGCAUUGGGACCCCGAACUGACCAACCUCUUAAUAUGAAUACCCAAGCUACAUUCCUUACGCCUACCCGGAAAGUAACACCAUACCAGUGGAGGUCCUGCUAAUUAGUCAAGCCAGAGCCCAUAUAGCUUGGAGCUGCACUGUAAGUCCCAGGGGGCCGCUCCCUGACUAAGUCCUUACGGAGAGCAGAGACGGGUACGCCCGGCAAACCGGACCACCAACGGUACCCGCUCCCCCUGUCACCACCAUCAUCACGAUGCUCAUAAGCAUCCAACAUCGCCAUCACCGCAGUGACCAAAGAUUCAGCACAAUUUAAGCAUCAAGUUGAGUAGAGACUAAUACUUGUUUAGGCAUGUGUAUAAGAUGAGUAGAGCAGCUAAGCAAACCUAGUAUAGCCUAGUCUACCCAAAUACAUAACCCCAGGUGAGCAAGGAAUAAUAAGUAAAGCUAGUCAUGUCCUUAGGGUUUGCAUUCAUUGGACACAUGCAUAUAAAGUAAAUGACAUUAAUGAGUAGGUUCAAAAUGAUCAAAUGGUGUCUGCACUUGCCUUGAUCGAUGUCGGGUUGCUCGAACUCAGCGGGAUCCUGAACCUCUUCCUUCACGAACGUCUCGUUGGC
rnacentral:lncRNA from 1 species